rnacentral:rRNA from 1 species
AUUGAACGCUGGCGGCAUGCCUUACACAUGCAAGUCGAACGGCAGCACGGGUGCUUGCACCUGGUGGCGAGUGGCGAACGGGUGAGUAAUAUAUCGGAACGUACCUUAUUGUGGGGGAUAACGCAGCGAAAGCUGUGCUAAUACCGCAUAAUCCCUUAGGGGGAAAGCGGGGGACCGUAAGGCCUCGCGCAAUUAGAGCGGCCGAUACCUGAUUAGCUAGUUGGUGAGGUAAAGGCUCACCAAGGCGACGAUCAGUAGCUGGUCCGAGAGGACGAUCAGCCACACUGGGACUGAGACACGGCCCAGACUCCUACGGGAGGCAGCAGUGGGGAAUUUUGGACAAUGGGGGCAACCCUGAUCCAGCAAUGCCGCGUGAGUGAAGAAGGCCUUCGGGUUGUAAAGCUCUUUUGUCAGGGAAGAAACAGCAGCUCUAACACAGUAUGCGAAUGACGGUACCUGAAGAAUAAGCACCGGCUAACUACGUGCCAGCCGCCGCCGUAAUAC